GACGAACGCUGGCGGCGUGCCUAAUACAUGCAAGUCGAACGAGUGGCGGACGGGUGAGUAAUGUCUGGGCAACUGCCUGAUGGAGGGGGAUAACUACUGGAAACGGUAGCUAAUACCGCAUACCAUCAGAUGUGCCCAGCUGGGAUGAGCUUGUUGGUGGGGUAACGGCUCACCAAGGGGACGACCCCUAGCUGGUCUGAGAGGAUGACCAGCCACACGGGAACUGAGAAACGGUCCAGACGCCUACGGGAGGAAGCAGGGGGGAAUAGUGCACAAUGGGGGCAAGCCUGAGGCAGCCAGGCCGCGUGUAUGAAGCGGGCCUUCGGGUUGUAAAGUACUUUCAGCGGGGAGGCGUUACCCGCAGAAGAAGCACCGGCUAACUCCGUGCCAGCAGCCGCGGUAAUAC
rnacentral:rRNA from 1 species